UCAGCCACCUCCUAAGUCUGCGCCGACCGCGGCGGAACUCGCGCGGGGCAAGUGUCAGUGCGCCCUGCCGCACCUCAGCCGCGGGGUUCUAUUCGCUGCGACAGCCCGCAGAGUGGACGGGCGGGAGGACCCCGUUUCCGCCACUCUUACCUUCUGGAUCCGUUUUAGAGCCAUGUUCCCGCUGCUCGUGCCCCACCGGCCCUGCGGGGCAGACUAAGACGGCCGCCUGGGCCGCAACGCUGCACGCCGGGAACGGCGCUCUACGCGUGCGCGCCGCGGUGCGCUGUGGGUAGCUAGUGCGCGCAGCAGUCCUGGGUCUGACCACGGAGUCGCGCACGGUCAGUUACUCGGCCACGGUCACGGCCCUGUGGCUCUGGUUUCUGCUAGGCGAGGGGCCUGGGCACCAGGACAUGCCUGAAACCGCAGGUGCCACACGCUAUGCUCUCUGCCCCUCCCUGGGCUCCUCCCCAGGCUGUCACUUAACUCCUGAGCUUAGUGGUUGUCAGCGCUGUAAGUAUACAUUCACUUUUAUAUGCUUUCUGGGCAGAAGUGUUACAGAUAUUUCUGAAUACGCGUAGGUGCUGAGCACAGAUGCAUCUACAUGUCUGGAGAGCUGCAUUUUCAGUAGUACUUAGUUGGCUUCAAUGCACUGCCGCUAUUGAGACUCAGCCUGAAAGUGCACAUCCCAAGCUAAACUCUGCUUCCCUUUCCCCAAGACAUCGAACUGUUUAAGACCAAGUGUAAAGAACUUAGUGGUAUGUCACAAAAUCUGUGUAAUAGAUUGUAGCCAACAUCUUGGAAAUGAAAUAGAAUAUGGCAAAAUACAUAAUAUCAGCGUGCCUCAUACAGUAAAGAAUCUGGACUCUCUAUAUAAAUAAUCAUAUAUAUUGUUUCCAGACAGAUAAACCUAAUAGGGUAUGCUAGUGCAGUUGCUCUGGACCAAAGGUGUUCCAACACCAGACUGGGCUACAUAGUGAGUUUGAGGCCAGCCUGGAUUGCAGAGUAAGACCAUGUCUU
rnacentral:lncRNA from 1 species